AUGUCUUUCUUGUAGUGAGGGGCCCAGAACUGGGCAUGGUACCUGAGGUGUGGCCUCACCGGUGCUGGGUAAAGAGGAACAAUCACUUCCCGGGCCAAAUACUAGAUAUUAGAUCUGGAGUCCUUCCAGUGGUAUUUUUAUAGGAAAGGUACCACAUUUUCAAUUCCACAAAUCUUUGCCAUAAAGAAUUAUCGUAAUUAUCAUGUACAAAUUGUCACUGGUUGGCUACCCAUCUGGUCUUUCUCUUCUUCAUUUUAUGUUACUAUUAAAAUUUAUACUUCUUUUAUACUGUCUGAACUGCAAACAGCUUCUUGUACUUUACUAUUCAGAUGUCUUUAAUUUACACAUCUCUUAACUCUGUAGUGGGCUUUAAAAAAGUUUCCAGUUAAAGACUUGAAAAAUCCUUUUGUGUUGUUUCAAUUUUUUUUAUUUAUUUUUUUCUUAAUUCACUGAAAACGGUUCGGUUUCAUCUGGGUACCCAAGAAAAUGUCUUUUCUUGUGAGCCUCAGAAACAUACUUCCAAAAAACAAUGAUGGAAGUGUGGAGAAACGUCUCCAACUGGCAGCAUUUGAUCGGUUUCUUGCUUACACCCAAUGAACAGGAGAGGGAGCCAAUGUACUAAAAAGCUGCAGAAGAAUUGUAACCUGCACUUGAAGGUAAUUUUAAACAAACCUCGGACAGUUUGAAAAACGAAUUUCAUUUGUACAAGAAGCGGUUUUAAUGUAAGUGCUCAGCAAAAAGCACUGAAGGUGAUUAGUACAGCUGAACGCAUCGGUUUUUCUGCAGUAAGUUUGGGUUAUUCUGAAGUCCUAAGCCGAUUCAUGUUUUAUAUUUCAUGAGGCUAGCUCGAGUUUGAAAUAGCCUGUAUUAAAUUUCAGUCUAUUGAAAUGGUAAAAGAUUCAGUUAGCAAAAUGUUUCUUUCUGACUUCUCAAAAGAAUCUUAAAUCAAAGGUGACAAUCUCUAAUGCAUACUCUGGCUUUGUUCCUACUGUGGAGCUCACUUUGAUGUCAUCAGUUGAAGUAUUAAGCUUGAAAUGGACAUACAGGUUGUAAUAUAGUUUCUCCACUAGCAGUUAGACAGGUACAUGGUGACCUUUGUUAACAAAAAUGCACUUUAAAUCUGUUUCUAAUACUAUUUUAUGGAUGGUGCUUGAUGACAGUCUCAUUACUCUGAAAACUGAUGUUUUGUAAUACUCGUGUAGCUAAAUUAGCAUUGUUACUAUUAUUUAUUGCUAUUUGUAACCUUGAGUCAGAAUUUUACUUAGCUGGAGUAUUUCUCAUGAGGAUAUCAAUGGUAAUUAUUUAACCAUCAGUAUGGAUUUUCUGGCGCGUGCCUGACCAUGAAGCCUUUGCAAUUCUUCAAAAGACCAUGUUGCCUUUUUUUCCUAUCAAUUCAUGGUCAAUGUGUAUGUUACAAGUUAAGCUUCUUUUGCAGUGCCUAACUCUACCAGGAACAGUCUGAUCAGACAUUAAUAAUUUAGCUCAUAUAUGUGUUUGCUGUCACUCUGAACUCUCAGAAAGACAGCAUCUCUCUCUGUACCAGCAUUCAAUGACAUAUCAGAAAAAUCUCCCCACAGAGAGGUGCAAUUGCUGUUGAAAGAUUCUUCCACAUCAGAAAAUCUAUCAAAAACAUAGGGUAGUCUUCUACAAAUGAACAGGGUCAUAAGAUAUAAAUCAAGAUGACACAAAUGAAGCAAAGAAAGGGGAAACAAAGUGGAAAUUAAACAAAGUUAGUACAGGGUGACGUAUUAUAUGUUCAGCAGGGACAAAGACUCACCUGUGCUUUCACCUAUUGAGCUAGGUAUUACAGUAUGAAAGGAAAGGCACUGGAAACCCAGAAGUAACAAAAACCAGACUUGUCUAUCUUCAGUGGAAGGUUUAGAGGGGGUGGAUGGGUGGGGUGUGCAUUCAGUGAGUAUAUCCUUUGGUUGGAUACCUUUAAUUUUGCUUCAGCUAAUUGAAGUCAUCCAAUUGAAGCUACCUGGCUCCAGCAGUCUGCACUUUGCUUCCACUGAUUUUGCUGAUAUAUUUUCCAUGUUAGCAGAUCAGCCAGCUGAGAAAUGGUGUGAUGUUUACUCAGUGCACAUAUCAAAUGAUGUUUUGCAGGGCUGGGAGCUCUGAUUCUUCAGUAAUGCCAGAGCCGAAUGUCACCACUGACACAACAUGCUUGAGUUACACUGAAGUUCAUGGCAUAGCUUUAAAGUUUGCUCCAGCUUCAGAUCUUACCUGAAAAGUACAGCUCCUUUUCCUGCAUGGUUGCAGCAGUAACCUCCAGUAACCAGGUCUCGGACACGCUUGACUUCUUCAAAAAGGGGGACAGCCUCCACUGAUCUUCCAGUUGAUCCUGAGGGACUUCAAAUACAAGGUAAUUAUUGGAGGAGGCCAGCACAGCUGAUCUGCAGAGCCUGGAGCCUAAUUCUUCAACAGGAGUCAAGAUGAGAUGGAAAUGUCUUCCCACACUUCAGCUCAUGCAGAAAUCAGAAUGGAGAAAACCUUUGCUGUGACUGAUAGCAGAAGUAGACUAUAAAUGAUCCCAAACUGCAAGAAAAGGAGGAAAUACUCAGCCAUUGUUCUUUUGGGAGAGAAUGGGCUGACCUGUUAGCCUGUGCUACUAAUGGACCAGCUGCAGAGCUUGAAUUCAGCUAGAGCACAUCUGGCCUCUUCCCUGCCUGGUAAUUAGAGGAUCUGCAGUGAGCAAAUGAAAGCCCUCAACCCACACCCUCUGGCAUAGCUUCUGCUGUGGUAGCCCUGUGGCAUUCCCCCAUGAGAUGCAGACUUCCCUCACGGGGAGGAAGGCGAACUGGUUCUCACACAUCUUCUCCAAGUGCUCCAGAUGCAGAAAAGUGGAAAGGCAGCUGCACAUUUCUGUCAUGGUUGAGGGCACUGUUAAUUGAAUUUGUGCUAAGUGACUACUUGCCUAAUCAGCAACUGACUGGAUUUGAGGUGAUCGUGAUGAACUGGCUAUACCUGGCUUGCAGGUGAGUAAACUUCCUUUCAUGUCUUUUGCUAUUGACCUCUAUAUUUGUGCUUUACCCAACAUGGGCUGUAUGGGAAGUUCGCUUUUCCUCUACUUUACUUUAUCAGCCAGUCAUGUCAAACUGUAGCACUAAUGCCAUAAAUACUAUUGUUUUUCUCUUUCUCAGCAAUCACCUUUGACUUCAGUUAAAAGCUCUCAUUGCUUUAUCAUUUUCAAAACUUCCUUAACCACAGAGAUCCAUUCCUGAGCAGUAAACCCUUAGAAAAACAGCAUGGAUGAAAGGAUAUAUUGAGUAAUAGACUGGGUGGCCAAUCUUGCCUCAAUUAUCAUGAAGAAAUAGUGGGGGAUGGAGAAGGUUGUCUUCCCUCAGCUGCCUGGAUUCUCAUUAAUAUCUUGAAAGGCAAAGGCAAAUCACAGCCACUCAACAUUUUGAUCCAUUAGGUGAGGCAUCUGACACACAACUCAUUGAACUUAAAGAAUGAGUUUUCCAUUGAUUUCAACAGCUCUAGAUGUGGUCUGAUGCUGCUGCCUGGAACAGGCAGAAGAUUUCUGCUUCAAAUAAAGCAGAAGAUUUCAUUUCUUGGCUGUCCCUUCUGCCUGGAACCACUGCUGGCCUCUGGCAAAAAAAAAAAAAAAAUCUAUCUGGACUUACUGACUGGUUUGUGUGGAGCCAGGGUUAUGAUGUCUGGGAAGACGUAUUAUUCUGUCAAAUAAGGUCUGCUGGCAGCCCUGAAAAUGUGAAGUAAGCUUACUAGUAUGCAUCUGAACCAUUUUAAAAUUCAGGCCGUGACAGUAAUGGCUGCAAUACAGAAAGAGGAGAGGCUACUACUGUACAUCAGCAGAACUAACCUAUCUUAGUUUUUUCCCCAGGUAACGGCAACUCGGCAGUCAGAAUGAACAGUUUUCCUGUUGGAAACCUCCUGUUGCAAAAUUAGUAGUUAAUUCACCACAGCAACAGGCGUGCUUUCUACUGUCCUCUGGUGAAACUCUUAGCUCAGUACAGGCACCUAAUGGCUAUGGCAGUGGAUGGAUCUGCUACAUUAACCUGUUACUGAAGUGCAGGUCUGGGGGUGUGUGCUGGUUUUGGCUAGAGUAGAGUUAAUUUUCUUCACAGUAGCUAGACUGGGGCUGUCUUUUGGAUUUGGGCUGAACAGUGUCAAUUAUAUAGAAACGUUUUUGUUAUUGCUGAGCAGUGCUUACACAGAGCCAAGGUUUUCUCUGCCUUUCAUACUGUAACACAAGCAAGCAGGCUGGGAAUGCUUGGCAAGUUGGGAGAAAGCACAGAUGGAACAGGUGACUCCAACUGACCAAAAGGGAUAUUCCAUACAAUAUGACAUCAUGCUCAGUAUAAAAAGGAGAUGGAAGGAGAAAGAAGGGGACAUUUGGAGUUUAUGUUCCCAAGUAAUCGUUACAUGUGAUGGGGCCCUGCUCUCUUGAGUUGGAUGAACACCUGCCUGCCC